GAACUAUAAUCUUGUGGUAAAGGUAUUGCUGGACUGUACGCCAUCUGGUCAACUUCCUGAAUGUGUUGGUCAAAAGCUUAAAAGUACUGUAAGUUAGUAACUAAUAUGUAAACAUUGAACUGAAAAAUGCUCGUUGGAUUAUCCCCUCUAAGACUGAAUGUGUUGGUCAAAAGCUUGAAAGUACUGUAAGUUCGUAACUAAUAGGUAUACAUUGAUCUGAAAAAUGCUCGUUGUAUUACCCCUCCAAGGUUGAAUGUGUUGGUCAAAAGCUUAAAAGUAUUGUAAGUUAGUAACUAAUAUGCAAACAUUGAACUGAAAAAUGCUUGUUGGAUUAUCCCCUCUAAGGACAAUGGGUGUUUAUCAAGUAACUGCUUAUGUUUUCUUUUUUCCUGCUGCAACCUAAGCUUUAAGAACCUGACAGGUAAGGUGCCUAAACCUUUAGGAGAAGUGACAAAUUUAAAGGUUCUUGUAAGGGUGUAUGUUUUUAGAUUACGGUAAGGUGCCUAAACCUUUAGGAGAAGUGACAAAGUUAAAGGUUCUUGUAAGGGUGUAUGUUUUUAGAUUACGGCUAGCAGUUAUCCUGUAAAGAAUGUUACAAGUAUACGUUUGGUGUAGGGUUUUGACAAACAACAACCUUGCUGGCCCCAUUCAGUAUGCAGAAUUGACAAGAAAAGAUACACUUAAAGGGGACUUGUCAUACAAUAGCUUCACAAACAUGUCUUCUAAUGCAGCAACUUCUUGCGUGCAACAAAGCCUGUGAGAGCCCCCAUACAGUUUCGUGUUUUUCAGAUUGUUUUCGUCCAUUAUGUUCCUCAUUGUCGCUGACAAUCACCAUUACCAUUCUUCAGCAAUCUAGUUAAAAAGUGUGAAGGCACAGGAAAAAGAAUUUUACUUUUCACACAAAUUGCUGUAGCCAGGGUCCAGUUAGUACUGCAAACAAGUACGUUGUUGGGGGUAAGCCAUUUUCUGUGCCUCAAGCAGAAGGUAAAUUAUAUAGUACUGCCUGUUUUUGUGCAAUCUAGCUGAAAUACUAUGGGUUCUGCCUCUAUAGCGGGUCUCGAUAGUUAUAACUGAUGAUAAGAAUUAUAGCAACCAGGAAACAGUAUUUUCAUGUGUAUAUUCAGGUAAAGGCUCAAGUCGAACAUGGGUUAUUGAGAAAAUUAUUAAAAUGUUGGCAGUCUAUCAUGAAUUUCAUUAGUGUGCGCGUAUCAAAUAAUACACUGGAGAUUCACCUUUUUUUGUGAUAGAAAGGGCGGUACAGCGAUUCCAUGGUCCUCCUAUGUCGGCUAUUUCUCUAGAAGCUGGCUUUCCACUGCGCUCCUACAGCUUCCCCAUUGCAAUAGCAGGCGGCAGCUACCAUAGCCGACAGCCGGCGACAUCCAGCG